GAUGAACGCUGGCGGCGUGCCUAAUACAUGCAAGUCGAGCGAACAGACGAGGAGCUUGCUCCUCUGACGUUAGCGGUGGACGGGUGAGUAACACGUGGAUAACCUACCUAUAAGACUGGGAUAACUUCGGGAAACCGGAGCUAAUACCGGAUAACAUGUUGAACCGCAUGGUUCAACAGUGAAAGACGGUCUUGCUGUCACUUAUAGAUGGAUCCGCGCCGCAUUAGCUAGUUGGUAAGGUAACGGCUUACCAAGGCAACGAUGCGUAGCCGACCGGAGAGGGUGAUCGGCCACACUGGAACUGAGACACGGUCCAGACUCCUAAGGGAGGCAGCAGUAGGGAAUCUUCCGCAAUGGGCGAAAGCCUGACGGAGCAACGCCGCGUGAGUGAAGAAGGUCUUCGGAUCGUAAAACUCUGUUAUUAGGGAAGAACAAAUGUGUAAGUAACUAUGCACGUCUUGACGGUACCUAAUCAGAAAGCCACGGCUAACUACGUG
rnacentral:rRNA from 1 species